GCGCGGCGGCGAUUACAGACAUUUCGGGGGUCCGGGGCCUGUCGCGACUGCUAAGCGCUCGGCGCCUGGCGCUGGCCAAGGCGUGGCCAACAGUGUUGCAAACAGGAACCCGAGGUUUUCACUUCACUGUUGAAGGAACACGAGGGCAUCUGCUAAAGUUUCAGAUUCCAUUUCUGCUCAGUAUCCAGUAGUGGAUCAUGAAUUUGAUGCAGCGGUGGUAGGCGCUGGAGGGGCAGGCUUGCGAGCUGCAUUUGGCCUUUCUGAGGCAGGGUUUAAUACGGCAUGUGUUACAAAGCUGUUUCCUACCAGGUCACACACUGUUGCAGCGCAGGUUGGAAUCAAUGCUGCUCUGGGGAACAUGGAGGGGGACAACUGGAGAUGGCAUUUCUACGACACCGUGAAGGGCUCCGACUGGCUGGGGGACCAGGAUGCCAUCCAAUACAUGACGGAGCAGGCCCCCACUGCCAUGGUCGAGCUAGAAAAUUAUGGCAUGCCGUUUAACAGCACUGAAGAUGGGAAGAUUUAUCAGCAUGCAUUUGGUGGACAGAGCCUCAGGUUUGGAAAGGGCGGGCAGGCCCAUCGGUGCUGCUGUUUGGCUGAUCGGACCGGCCACUCAAUAUUGCACACCUUAUAUGGGAGGUCUCUUUGAUGUGAUACCAGCUGUUUUGUGGAGUAUUUUGCCUUGGAUCUCCUGAUGGAGAAUGGGGAGUGAUGUGGUGUCAUCGCACUGUGCAUAGAGGACGGGUCCAUCCAUCGCAUAAGAGCAAAGAACACUGUUGUUGCCACAGGGCUGCGGGUGCACCUGCUUCAGCUGCACAUCUGCCCACACCAGCAGCGGCGAUGGCACGGCCAUGAUCACCAGGGAAGGCCUUCCUUGCCAGGACCUCGAGUUUGUUCAGUUCCACCCCACAGGUACAUAUGGUGCUGGUUGUCUCAUUACGGAAGGAUGUCAUGGAGAGGGAGGCAUUCUGAUUAACAGUCAAGGUGAAAGGUUUAUGGAGCGAUACGCCCCCGUCGCGAAGGACCUGGCGUCUAGAGUUGUGGUGUGUCGGUCGAUGACUGGAGAUCCGCGAAGGAAGAGGCUGUGGCCCUGAGAAAGAUCACGUCUACCUGCAGCUGCACCACCUACCUCUAGAGCAGCUGGCCACGCGCCUGCCUGGUAUUUCAGAGACAGCCAUGAUCUUCACUGGCGUGGACGUCACGAAGGAGCCGAUCCAUGUCCUCCCCACCGUGCAUUAUAAUGUGGACGGCAUUCCCACCAGCUACAAGGGGCAGGUCCUGAAGCACGCGAAUGGCCAGGAUCAGAUUGUGACCAGCCUGUACACCUGUGGGGAGGCCGCCUGUGCCUUGGUACAUGGUGCCAACCCCCUCGGGGCAAACUCACUGUUGGACCUGGUUGUCUGGUCAGGCAUGUGCCCUGAGUAUCAAAGAGUCAUGCAGGCCUGGAGAUAAAGUCCCUCCAAUUAAACCAAAUGCUGGGGAAGAAUCUGUCACGAAUCUUGAGAAAUUGAGAUUUGCUGAUGGAAGAAGCAGAAGAACAUGGGAACUGCGACUCAGCAUGCGGAAGUCAAUGCAAAAUCAUGCUGCCAUGUUCCGUGUGGGAAGCGUGUUGCAAGAAGGUUGUGGGAAAAUCAGCAAGCUCUACAGAGACCUGAAACACCUGCAGAUGUUUGACCGGGGAAUGGUCUGGAACACGGACCUGGUGGAGACCCUGGAGCUGCAGAACCUGAUGCUGUGUGUGCUGGAGACCAUCAAUGGAGCAGAGGCGCGGAAGGAGUCAUGGGGCGCGUACGCCAGGGAAGAAUACAAGGUGUGGAUUAAUGAGUACGAUCACUCCAAGCCCAUCCAGGGGCAGCAGAAGAAGCCCUUUGAGGAGCACUGGAGGAAGCACACCCUGUCCUAUGUGGACGUCAGCACUGGGAAGGUCAGUGUGGAGCUUGUUCUCACCGCAGCCCAGCACCCACACAGCCCCGCCCAGGUCUGCGGGCUGGCCUUGCUGAUGGUGAACGGGGAGGAGCAGGCCAGAUUUAAAUCAACUCCUGACAGAUUUGAGGCACCACUGAAAAAGGCACUCUGACAGCAGUCAGGCUUCGGGCUGGAAACAGAAUCCAGUGCCUGCAGGUGAUUCAGAGGAGCCUUAAGGGAAGGGUUGCUCCAUGGUGUGGGCCAGAUGGAAGUCACUGGGCAGGAGCAAGUGUCCAAGGCCUGGUGAUAGGGGAAGAGAUGAUGAUUGUGGACCUGGCGAGAAAGUCAGCAUCUGUGGGGUGGGGACACAGCCACUACCAGAAACCAGUCCUAAGCCAAGGGAGCCCAGAAGAGACCCCUCCCCUCUCCUCCCAUGGGCUGGGCCAACUGGAAGCAUCUGCAGGGGAGCUGAGGGGAUGUGGUACAGCCCUUAGCAUCCCCUGGGCACUGAGCAAGUAGAGAAGGGCAGAAAUGGAGGCGGGGUUGGGGUGAGCAGCGUCCUGGGAACAGCCAGCUGAGGGUGUGGUAGGGGGGUUGCAGCCUUGUUCCACACAAGCACAGUUCACCCGUGUGGCAUUUCCGCUGGGCAUUAAGAUUCAGAAAUAAUGAAGAUAGAAAGCUUUUACCCUUAAGCUUUUCUUAGCUUGUAAGAGAGAGUCGUAUAAUCACUUAGCUGUGUCUGUGGAAGUUACCUUUGGACUCUCACUAUCAUCUAGUUUGUCUGUGAUUCAGGCAGUAGGUCAUUUUCAGGAUUUAUCAUGAAGACCAUUUCCUGGUAGUGUAUAGAAAUCACACUUCACUCGCUUAGCACAAGUCUAUUUUUAAUGUUUCCAGGUUCGGGUUUUUUGUUUUGUUUUUGUUUUUCUGAGAUAGAGUCUUAUCUCUGUUGCCCAGGCUGAAAUGUGGUGGCUCGAUCUCGUCUCACUGCAGCCUCAACCUCCCCCCGGCUCAGGUGAUCCUCCCACCUCAGCCUCCCGGGCACAUGCCACCAUGCCACCAUGCCUGGCUAAUUUUUGUAUGUUUCGUAGAGAUGGGGUUUUGCCACGUUGCCCAGGCUAGUCUUGAACUGCUGAGCUCAAGUGAUCCACGUGUCUUGGCCUCCCCAACAGGCAUGAACCAACACGCCCAGCCAGUUUCAGUGAUUUUUCAAGAAAUACAUACUCAUUUUAGAAAGUACAAAGAGAUUGAAAUAAGAGCUCACUAACCAGAGAUGACCCAUUAUGGUUUAAAUUUCUUUGUGUAUGGGCCUGCCUUUUCCUGUGUGUGCAUAUUUAAUAUACAGCUUGAGUAUUCCUUCUCUGAAACCCUUGGGACCAGAAGUGUUUUGGAUUUCAGGCUUGUUCAGACUUUGGAAUGUUUGCAUUAUACUUACUGUCUGAGCAUCCCUAAUCGGAAGAUCUGACUCCCUAGCACAUUUGUUUUGAAUGUCAUGCUGGUGCUCAGAAAAUUUCAUAUUUGGGAGAAUUUCAGAUGUUUGGAUUAGGGAUGUUCAACCUGUAUAAAUACUUACUUUGAAGUAGAAAAACUGGAAGUAGAUGGUUUAAACAUCAAGUGUGUUGGUAUAGACAAGUGUUCUCCCACUUUUCGUGAUGGGAGUGUUUUUGUAAAGCACUGAGAAUCUGGUACAGUGUCAUUUUCAUUGUUCCGUUCCACUCUACGGAUCUGCCGUCAUUUACAGUCCCCUGUUGCGCAUGUAGAUCAUUUCUGAAUUUGUUACUGGAAAAUACUGCGGCAAAUACCUUAAAGUUCACAUGCCGUAAAUCUACUUUUAUAGUAAAAAAUUUUCAAAAGGAACACAAGAGAUGGCUUUUUGUACAUUUUUGUGCUUACCUUACCCCUGACUCUUCUUUUCAAGGUCACCCUGGAAUAUAGACCCGUAAUUGACAAAACUUUGAAUGAGGCUGACUGUGCCGCCAUCCCCCCAGCCAUUCACUCCUGCUGAUGAGACAAGAUGCGGUGAUGACAGAAUCAGCUUUUGUAAUUAUGUAUAAUAACUCAUGUAUGUGUCCAUGUCAUAAGUGUCUUCAUACGCUUCUGCACUCCAGGGAAGAAGGAGUACAUUGAGGGGAGAUUGGCACCCAGUGGCCGGGAGCUUGCCAGGAACCCAGUGGCCAGGGAGCGUGGCACUUACCUUUGUCCCUUGCUUCAUUCUUGUGACAUGAUAAAACUGGGCACAGCUCUUAAAUAAAAUAUAAAUGAACAAA
rnacentral:lncRNA from 1 species